AACAUCGCGCACCUGCGGGAACCUGCGGAAGGAUCAUUACAGAGUUGCAAAGCUCCCUAAACCAUUGUGAACGUUACCUAAACCGUUGCUUCGGCGGGCGGCCCGGGUCCUUCCCGGCGCCCCUCGGCCCUCGCGGGCGCCCGCCGGAGGUAAACCAAACUAUUGCAUUGUAUGGCCUCUCUGAGUCUUCUGUACUGAAUAAGUCAAAACUUUCAACAACGGAUCUCAGAUCGGAAGAGC
rnacentral:misc_RNA from 1 species